CAGCCGCCGCGGUAAUACCAGCCCCGCGAGUGGUCGGGACGGUUAUUGGGCCUAAAGCGCCCGUAGCCGGCCCGGCAAGUCCCUCCUUAAAGCCUCGGGCCCAACCCGAGGACGGGGGGGAUACUGCCGGGCUAGGGGGCGGGAGAGGCCGGCGGUACUCCCGGGGUAGGGGCGAAAUCCGUUAAUCCCGGGAGGACCACCAGUGGCGAAGGCGGCCGGCUGGAACGCGCCCGACGGUGAGGGGCGAAAGCCGGGGGAGCGAACCGGAUUAGAUACCCGGGUAGUCCCGGCGGUAAACGAUGCGGGCUAGCUGUGGGGCGGGCUUAGAGCCCGCCCAGUGGCGCAGGGAAGCCGUUAAGUCCGCCGCCUGGGGAGUACGGCCGCAAGGCUGAAACUUAAAGGAAUUGGCGGG
rnacentral:rRNA from 1 species